GGUAGUCCACGCCGUAAACGAUGCGAACUGGAUGUUGGGUGCAAUUUGGCACGCAGUAUCGAAGCUAACGCGUUAAGUCGACCGCCUGGGGAGUACGGCCGCAAGGUUAAAACUCAAAUGAAUUGACGGGGGCCCGCACAAGCGGUGGAGCAUGUGGUUUAAUUCGAUGCAACGCGAAGAACCUUACCUGGUCUUGACAUCCACAGAACUUGGCAGAGAUGCCUUGGUGCCUUCGGGAACUGUGAGACAGGUGCUGCAUGGCUGUCGUCAGCUCGUGUUGUGAAAUGUUGGGUUAAGUCCCGCAACGAGCGCAACCCUUAUCCUUUGUUGCCAGCGGUCCGGCCGGGAACUCAAAGGAGACUGCCAGUGAUAAACUGGAGGAAGGUGGGGAUGACGUCAAGUCAUCAUGGCCCUUACGACCAGGGCUACACACGUGCUACAAUGGCGCAUACAAAGAGAAGCAAUCUCGCGAGAGCUAGCGGACCUCAUAAAGUGCGUCGUAGUCCGGAUUGGAGUCUGCAACUCGACUCCAUGAAGUCGGAAUCGCUAGUAAUCGUGAAUCAGAAUGUCACGGUGAAUACGUUCCCGGGCCUUGUACACACCGCCCGUCACACCAUGGGAGUGGGUUGCAAAAGAAGUAGGUAGCUUAACCUUCGGGAGGGCGCUUACCACUUUGUGAUUCAUGACUGGGGUGAAGUCGUAACAAGGUAACC
rnacentral:rRNA from 1 species